CCUACGGGAGGCAGCAGUAGGGAAUCUUCCACAAUGGGCGCAAGCCUUAUGGAGCAACACCGCGUGAGGGAAGAAGGUACUGAGUAUUGUAAACCUCUUUUGCCAGGGGACAAAGGCGGCCACGGGUGGCCGUAAGAGGGUACCUGGAGAAAAAGCAUCGGCUAACUCCGUGCCAGCAGCCGCGGUAAUACGGAGGAUGCGAGCGUUAUCCGGAUUUAUUGGGUUUAAAGGGUGCGCAGGCGGCGUGUCAAGUCAGCGGUAAAAGGUCGGGGCUCAACCCCGGCCGGCCGUUGAAACUGGCGUGCUCGAGUGGGAGAGAAGUAUGCGGAAUUCGUGGUGUAGCGGUGAAAUGCAUAGAUAUCACGAAGAACCCCGAUUGCGAAGGCAGCAUACCGGCUCCACACUGACGCUGAGGCACGAAAGCGUGGGUAUCGAACAGGAUUAGAUACCCGUGUAGUC
rnacentral:rRNA from 1 species